AUACGAAGGUCCCAAGCGUUAUUCGGAAUCACUGGGCGUAAAGAGUACGUAGGCGGUUUGGUAAGUCAGGCGUGAAAUCCCGAAGCUCAACUUCGGAACUGCAUCCGAUACUGCCAGACUAGAGUAAUGGAGAGGCAGGUGGAAUUCUCGGUGUAGCAGUGAAAUGCGUGGAUAUCGAGAGGAAGACCAAUGGCGAAGGCAGCCUGCUGGACAUUUACUGGCGCUGAGGUACGAAGGCUAGGGGAGCGAAAGGGAUUAGAAACCCCGGUAGUCC
rnacentral:rRNA from 1 species